rnacentral:rRNA from 1 species
GUUUGACGUUAGCUGCAGAAGAAGCACCGGCUAACUCCGUGCCAGCAGCCGCGGUAAUACGGAGGGUGCGAGCGUUAAUCGGAAUUACUGGGCGUAAAGCGCAUGCAGGUGGUUUGUUUAAGUCAGAUGUGAAAGACCCGGGGCGUCAACCUAGGAAUUGCAUUUGAAACUAGGCAGACUAGAGUACUGUAGAGGGGGGUAGGAAUUUCAGGUGUAGCGGUGAAAUGCGUAGAGAUCUGAAGGAAUACCGGUGGCGAAGGCGGCCCCCUCGGACAGAUACUGACACUCAGAUGCGAAAGCGUGGGGAGCAAACAGGAUUAGAUACCCCUGGUAG